rnacentral:rRNA from 1 species
UACGUAGGGGGCAAGCGUUGUCCGGAUUUAUUGGGCGUAAAGAGCGUGUAGGCGGCCAGGUAGGUCUGCUGUGAAAACUCGAGGCUUAACCUCGAGAUGUCGGCGGAAACCAUCUGGCUAGAGUCCGGAAGAGGAGAGUGGAAUUCCUGGUGUAGCGGUGAAAUGCGCAGAUAUCAGGAGGAACACCAGUGGCGAAGGCGGGUCUCUGGACAACUACUGACGCUGAGGAGCGAAAGCGUGGGGAGCGAACAGG